rnacentral:rRNA from 1 species
AACGUAGGUGGCAAGCGUUAUCCGGAAUUACUGGGCGUAAAGGGUGUGCAGGCGGGGUUGCAAGUGGUGUAUGAAAUAUCCCAGCUUAACUGGGAGGGGUUAUGCCAGACUGCAACUCUAGAGGACGAGAGAGGGGGGUGGAAUUCCGGGGUGUAGUGGUGAAAUGCGUAGAGAUCCGGAGGAACCCCAGAGGCGAAGGCGGCCCCCUGGCUCGUACCUGACGCUCAGCCACGAAAGCAUGGGGAGCGAACGGG